AUCCUGCAUUGUCCAACCUUCUUCCGGGGUCUUCUGUGCUUUCGCAACUAGAGCAUUUAUCCUUACUUUGAACUCUUCGUACUCCCUCUUCAUUGCGCGGCGUUCUUUCACAAAAGAGGGUUGAACCUUGUCCUUCAAAUAAUCGAUCUUUUGUGAAAAGUAGAAUUCUGGCGCCCUUGGUUCUAUAAUAUGCUUUUUGCAAAAUGGGACCCACUUCCUAGCAAAUUCCGAAGUCUCGGUAAGGGCUUCAAAUGUCAGCAUUGCUGAACCGUCGUCCGAAACAUAGCAUGACACUUUA
rnacentral:misc_RNA from 1 species